rnacentral:lncRNA from 1 species
GUGCUAGAAAAUAGUCAUUGUGAACAAAAUUAAUUAAGUCGACAACGAAAUACAUAGAAAUAAAGUCAAAACAAAAAAAAAAAAAUGAAAAAAAUACAUAUUAGCUUCAUCUAACUGGUUGUAAUGCUCAAUAUCUUCCAUGUGGAAACCAUCUAACUAUGGAGAAGCUUUCAACCAAUUUUGUGUGCAUACCAAGACAUCCACCAUUUUAGGACUUAAUGAACUACGAAAAGGAUCAAGGAUCCUUCCUCCGGUGCUAAAAGCACUUUCUGAAGCAACAGUUGAAACUUGAAUUGCCAACACAUCCUUAGCAAGAUUAGACAUGACACUGUACUUACUUUUGUUAACCUUCCACCAAUUGAGAACCUCAAUGUCCUUGCUCUCUAUGGUUUCACGAGUAUCAAGCAAGUAUAUUUCCACAUCAUUUUUUAUUUCAGCACAAUCUUUUACAGCUUGUUUUUUCAAAAAUCUAGAAAGACUAGUAUCACUCAUAGAAGAAGCACUGUCUUUAUUUGUACUUAAAAAACUCAAAGACUCAUCAGUUGAUACUUGAAUACUUCCACGAACACUUUCACAAGCCACAUACCACUCAUAAAUAUCCAUUAAAUUGUCUUUCAAAGAUUUCAUCAUGUCACUAACAACUUCCCUAUCCAUGUAUAGAUCACUAAAACAGUAUAAC